rnacentral:rRNA from 1 species
UGCCUAAGACAUGCAAGUCGAACGGGCUGUUUAUGCAGCCAGUGGCGGACGGGUGAGUAACACGUAGGUGACCUACCCCAAAGUCUGGGACAACUAGGAGAAAUCUUAGCUAAUCCUGGAUGUGGACAUCUACUUUGGUGGAUGUUUAAAGCUUCGGCGCUUUGGGAUGGGCCUGCGGCGCAUCAGGUAGUUGGUGGGGUAAUGGCCUACCAAGCCGACGACGCGUAGCUGGUCUGAGAGGACGAUCAGCCACAGGGGUACUGAGACACGGACCCCACUCCUACGGGAGGCAGCAGUUAGGAAUCUUCCGCAAUGGGCGAAAGCCUGACGGAGCGAUACCGCUUGAAGGACGAAGCCCUUCGGGGUGUAAACUUCUGAACUCGGGACGAUAAUGACGGUACCGAGGUAAUAGCACCGGCUAACUCCGUGCCAGCAGCCGCGGUAAUACGGAGGGUGCGAGCGUUACCCGGAUUUACUGGGUGUAAAGGGCGUGUAGGCGGUCUCUCAAGUCCGAUGCUAAAGACCGAAGCUCAACUUCGGGGGUGCGUUGGAUACUGUGAGGCUAGACGGUCGGAGAGGGUAGCGGAAUUUCCGGAGUAGCGGUGAAAUGCGCAGAUACCGGAAGGAACGCCAAUAGCGAAAGCAGCUACCUGGACGAUUUGUGACGCUGAGGCGCGAAAGCGUGGGGAGCAAACCGGAUUAGAUACCCGGGUAGUCCACGCCCUAAACGAUGAGUGCUGGGUGUCCGACAUCUGUUGGGUGCCGUAGCUAACGCGUUAAGCACUCCACCUGG